rnacentral:lncRNA from 12 species
UACAUCAUGUAUUUCGUAAAUAUAAGUUGUUAUAGGAAAUAUAAGUUGGAUGGAAAGGGAUCUGAAGAAACAAGAGUGGGUCUCUUCCAACUUUGCCAUCAGAGAAAAAAAAAAAAAAAAGAUUAAUCCAAACACAGAACAGAGGAUGCUUGCCCGUGUGAAUUAAUGACAGCAGCUGCAUUUGGUGUUUUGGUGUUCUAGCUGAAGGUUUUCCCAGUUUCGGGCUAGGAAAGCUGCGUGUCAUAUGAUUUUUACCUUCAGAGUCUUGUUUAUUGGGCUGAAAGUUCAUUUUGCAAGUAAGUAGUAUUAUCUGUACCAUGUUAUUCCUGCUCAGGGGCUCAAGGCCUAGUGAAGUUGCAGUUACAGGAAUAAUCUUCGAAAGAGAAGUAACAGAAAAGAUCUGUUUGCAAUUACUUUAUUCAGUUUAGGGGAACUCUCCUUAGCAACUAAAUACAAAACAUCCCAAUUUUAUGUAAUCUGCAGAUUUAACGGCGGUCCACAAAAACUGCAAUCAAUUUCUUAAAAACCCGAUCGCUGAGAAGAUAUGCAGAACACAGGCUGGUAAUACGGGACAUAUGGUUUGGCCAUGUUGACGUCUGAACUCUUUUGUAAUUUUGCAUUUGAAACCCUAUCAGGCCCUCGGAUUCCCUCAUCAACCUGUUCAUUCCAGACGUGCAGCCAGCAGGUCCCAAGGCAAAUAUGAGCUCUGGACCAGCACCAUACACCCCAGGGCUGAUAAGGUCAUACAGCUGCUCUCCCAGCACAGCCGCACCGUGGUGAGCCGGGCCGUGAGCUGGUAUGUAGACCAAUCGGGCCGUGUUUUCUACACGUUCUGUGCUGUGGGUCCACGCGAGAGUGGGGGAACGAGUGCGUGUGCAGAGCAGAGCUAGGGCCGCCACACAAAUAGUAUUUCCAAACUGGCAAACCCGCAAACACACGAAAGGCAAACAUUUUCGACAGCGAAUAUAUGCCCCCUUCUUCCCGCCCCGCGCAGCUAAACUGUAAUAGGAACAGCCAUUAUUCGCAGUAUCCCAGGGAUUCCUCAUUUGUUUUGCAUUAUGAGAAAUAAGGAGUCCUUGUGAAGUGCUUUUCCCCAUAGAUGUGACUUUUGAAUCCAAAUACCAAUGACGAUCUUUGUAAGUCACAUGCUCUCUGCUCUGCUGGUCUCAGAAGGGGUCGAGCUAAUGGGGUUUCCUGACUGUACCGAAG